ACAUACGACCAUAGGGUGUGGAGAACAGGGCUUCCCGUCCGCUCAGCCGUACUUAACCCACACGCCGGGAGGUUAGUAGUUGGGUGGGUGACCACCAGCGAAUCCCUUCUGUUGUAUGUA
rnacentral:rRNA from 1 species